UUUCGCAAUGCCCGAAAGGGUGACGAAGCGACGCCGCGUGUGGGAAGAAGGCCUUCGGGUUGUAAACCACUGUCGGGAGUUAGGAAAUGCAGGUGCGUUAAUAGCGCACUUGCUUGACUAAGGCUCCAGAGGAAGCCACGGCUAACUCUGUGCCAGCAGCCGCGGUAAUACAGAGGCGGCAAGCGUUGUUCGGAAUUAUUGGGCGUAAAGAGCACGUAGGCGGCCUUGCAAGUCAGUUGUGAAGGCCUUCCGCUUAACGGAAGAACGGCAUCUGAUACUACAGGGCUUGAGUACGGGAGGGGAGAGUGGAACUUCUGGUGGAGCGGUGAAAUGCGUAGAUAUCAGAAGGAACGCCGGCGGCGAAAGCGACUCUCUGGUCCGAAACUGACGCUGAGUGUGCGAAAGCUAGGGGAGCAAACGGGAUUAGAUACCCCGGUAGUCCUAGCCGUAAACGAUGGGCACUAAGUAGAGGGGUUUU
rnacentral:rRNA from 1 species